UCCGUAGGUGAACCUGCGGAGGGAUCAUUACAAGUGACCCCGGUCUAACCACCGGGAUGUUCAUAACCCUUUGUUGUCCGACUCUGUUGCCUCCGGGGCGACCCUGCCUUCGGGCGGGGGCUCCGGGUGGACACUUCAAACUCUUGCGUAACUUUGCAGUCUGAGUAAAUUUAAUUAAUAAAUUAAAACUUUUAACAACGGAUCUCUUGGUUCUGGCAUCGAUGAAGAACGCAGCGAAAUGCGAUAAGUAAUGUGAAUUGCAGAAUUCAGUGAAUCAUCGAAUCUUUGAACGCACAUUGCGCCCCCUGGUAUUCCGGGGGGCAUGCCUGUUCGAGCGUCAUUUCACCACUCAAGCCUCGCUUGGUAUUGGGCAACGCGGUCCGCCGCGUGCCUCAAAUCGACCGGCUGGGUCUUCUGUCCCCUAAGCGUUGUGGAAACUAUUCGCUAAAGGGUGCUCGGGAGGCUACGCCGUAAAACAAACCCAUUUCUAAGGUUGACCUCGGAUCAGGUAGGGAUACCCGCUGAACUUAAGCAUAUCAAUAAGCGGAGGAAAAGAAACCAACAGGGAUUGCCCCAGUAACG
rnacentral:rRNA from 1 species